AGAGUUUGAUCAUGGCUCAGGACGAACGCUGGCGGCGUGCUUAACACAUGCAAGUCGAGCGGAAAGGCCCUUCGGGGUACUCGAGCGGCGAACGGGUGAGUAACACGUGAGUAAUCUGCCCCUAGCUCUGGGAUAGCUCCGGGAAACCGGGAUUAAUACCGGAUAGGACCACCUUAGACAUCUUUUGUGGUGGAAAGAAUUUCGGCUAGGGAUGAGCUCGCGGCCUAUCAGCUUGUUGGUGGGGUAACGGCCUACCAAGGCGACGACGGGUAGCCGGCCUGAGAGGGCGACCGGCCACACUGGGACUGAGACACGGCCCAGACUCCUACGGGAGGCAGCAGUGGGGAAUAUUGCGCAAUGGGCGAAAGCCUGACGCAGCGACGCCGCGUGGGGGAUGAAGGCCUUCGGGUUGUAAACCCCUUUCAGCAGGGACGAAGCGAAAGUGACGGUACCUGCAGAAGAAGCGCCGGCUAACUACGUGCCAGCAGCCGCGGUAACACGUAGGGCGCAAGCGUUGUCCGGAAUUAUUGGGCGUAAAGAGCUCGUAGGCGGUCUGUUGCGUCCGCUGUGAAAACUCGGGGCUUAACCCCGAGCCUGCAGUGGAUACGGGCAGACUAGAGGUAGGUAGGGGAGAAUGGAAUUCCCGGUGUAGCGGUGAAAUGCGCAGAUAUCGGGAGGAACACCGGUGGCGAAGGCGGUUCUCUGGGCCUUACCUGACGCUGAGGAGCGAAAGCGUGGGGAGCGAACAGGAUUAGAUACCCUAGUAGUCC
rnacentral:rRNA from 1 species